rnacentral:sRNA from 1 species
CGCCUGGCUGAACCCGCUAGUAUUCGAACUGUGCGCAGGGACAUGCACAGGCUUUCAGGAUGAAGGCCAGGGACAUCGCAAGAAGCGAUUUCAUCAGGAUGAUGUUUGGGACAAGCAGGGACUACGGAAAAAAAUGUGGGCGGGUCAAACCGCCCCUUUUUUU